rnacentral:rRNA from 1 species
UACGGGGGGUGCGAGCGUUGUCCGGAAUCACUGGGCGUAAAGGGCGCGUAGGUGGUUUGAUAAGGGUGUGGUGAAAGCCCGGGGCUCAACCCCGGGUCUGCCGUGCCGACUGUCAAACUCGAGGGCUGUAGAGGCAGACGGAAUUCCGGGUGUAGCGGUGGAAUGCGUAGAUAUCUGGAGGAACACCGGUGGCGAAGGCGGCAUUCUGGACCGAUAUUGACGCUGAGGAGCGAAAGCCAGGGGAGCAAACGGG